rnacentral:misc_RNA from 1 species
UCACCCCUCAAGCCCUGUGUUUGGUGUUGGACGGCCUGGUCGGUUAAAACGACCCCUCCUAAAGAUAAUGACGGCGGCCCGUGGAGCCCCCGGUACACUGAGCUUCUUAACUGAGCACGUAUCGGACGAGGGCGCCCGGACCCCGGUCUUUCUCCCCUAGGGGAACUUUCUAAG